AGUGAACGCUGGCGGUAGGCCUAACACAUGCAAGUCGAACGGCAGCACAGAGGAGCUUGCUCCUUGGGUGGCGAGUGGCGGACGGGUGAGGAAUACAUCGGAAUCUACUCUGUCGUGGGGGAUAACGUAGGGAAACUUACGCUAAUACCGCAUACGACCUACGGGUGAAAGCAGGGGAUCUUCGGACCUUGCGCGAUUGAAUGAGCCGAUGUCGGAUUAGCUAGUUGGCGGGGUAAAGGCCCACCAAGGCGACGAUCCGUAGCUGGUCUGAGGGGAUGAUCAGCCAAACUGGAACUGAGACACGGUCCAGACUCCUACGGGAGGCAGCAGUGGGGAAUAUUGGGCAAUGGGCGCAAGCCUGAUCCAGCCAUACCGCGUGGGUGAAGAAGGCCUUCGGGUUGUAAAGCCCUUUUGUUGGGAAAGAAAUCCAUCUGGUUAAUACCCGGGUGGGAUGACGGUACCCAAAGAAUAAGCACCGGCUAACUUCGUGCCAGCCGCCGCCGUAA
rnacentral:rRNA from 1 species